AGAGAGAGACAUGCGCGCAUAUCAAUAAGCGGAGGAAAAGAAACUAACUAGGAUUCCCUCAGUAACGGCGAGUGGAGCGGGAAGAGCUCAAACUUGAAAUCUUCAAGGUUAUCUACCUUGACGAAUUGUAGUUUAAAGAAGUGUUUUCUGUUGGAGUUUUGGUAAAAGUUCUUUGGAAUAGGACAUCAUAGAGGGUGAGAAUCCCGUAUUUGACCGUUAUCUUUCUAGCUGUGUGAUACACUUUCAAAGAGUCGGAUUGUUUGGGAAUGCAGUCCAAAAUGGGUGGUAAAUUUCAUCUAAAGCUAAAUAUUGGCGAGAGACCGAUAGCGAACAAGUACCGUGAGGGAAAGAUGAAAAGAACUUUGAAAAGAGAGUUAAACAGUACGUGAAAUUGUCAAAAGGGAAGCGUUUGACACCAGUGUUGUUUUUCCGAAAAUCAAUUAUAGAACUGUUUUGUUUUUGAGGAGUUAUGACUUCAUCGGCUUGCCUUCUCUCUUUACGAAACUUUUGUAAUGCACUUUUCGGUUAACAAGUCAACAUCAAUUUCUUUUGUUGUAAAAGGGUCACUGAGAAGGUGGCUUUCUUUUCGGAGAAAGUGUUUAUAGCCUUGUGACUUCUGCAAUCGGAGAGAUUGAGGUCUGCAGCGUAGACUCUUCGGGGUUAGAUACAGUUUGUGCUAAGUUAUAGCUUUUCAUAGACAACUUGUUGACUAUAGUUUAGUCCUUGUAGCUUACUCGCUGAUGCUAUUUUACCUACGCUUAGGAUGUUGACAGCAGUAUAGACUGU
rnacentral:rRNA from 1 species